rnacentral:rRNA from 1 species
AGAGUUUGAUCAUGGCUCAGGAUGAACGCUAGCUACAGGCUUAACACAUGCAAGUCGAGGGGCAGCAUGACCUAGCAAUAGGUUGAUGGCGACCGGCGCACGGGUGAGUAACACGUAUCCAACCUACCGGUUAUUCCGGGAUAGCCUUUCGAAAGAAAGAUUAAUACCGGAUAGUAUAACGAGAAGGCAUCUUUUUGUUAUUAAAGAAUUUCGAUAACCGAUGGGGAUGCGUUCCAUUAGUUUGUUGGCGGGGUAACGGCCCACCAAGACAUCGAUGGAUAGGGGUUCUGAGAGGAAGGUCCCCCACAUUGGAACUGAGACACGGUCCAAACUCCUACGGGAGGCAGCAGUGAGGAAUAUUGGU